AGAAUCAACGCUGGCGGCGUGCCUAACACAUGCAAGUCGAACGAGAAAGUGGAGCAAUCCAUGAGUAGAGUGGCGCACGGGUGAGUAACACGUGACUAACCUACCUUUUAGUGGGGGAUAACCUAGGGAAACCUGGGCUAAUACCGCAUAAUACCUACGGGUCAAAGCAGCAAUGCGCUGGAAGAGGGGGUCGCGGUCGAUUAGUUAGUUGGCAGGGUAAUGGCCUACCAAGACUGUGAUCGAUA
rnacentral:rRNA from 1 species